UUGGGUGUGAGUGUGGCCACUGCUGCCACUGAAGUUGAUCCAAGAGCUGGCUAUGGCCCUGCGCUGGGGUCGCAGGGUUCCAGGCUGUGCAGUCCCCAGAAGAGCCACUGUCAAAGCCAUCAAGCCCAGAGACUCUCUGGGCAGGCACAGGUGUGAACUUCAGCCAACAGGACCAGAACCUACAGGACCCACCUCCUGAGGGCCACCUCCGGGAAGACAUUGGCAGCUUGAAUACUUCUGCCUGUUUCUGCCGCUUUCAUUGAGGGAGUCAGUACUGUGGAUCUCUGUGGGCUCCUGGGACAUCCCAGGGAGCACUCCUGCUAGGUGUUCUCAAGUCCACCUAAAAGUGGAAAAGGAUAAUCCAGGGAAGCUAUAGGCUCCAGGACCAGGUCAUUUGUUGCCAGUCCAGUCCCUGGAGAUGGAGGGGCAGGCUGAGUCCAGUCCUUUCUAGACUGGCACUGGUAUCAAACUCAGAGUGCUUUACAGCCGAAGAGAGUUCUGCGGCCUCUGGGUUGAGAAACUCUGAAGCUGACUCUUAUUGUUGGAGAGCUCUUACUGGGGAGAUACUCUGAACUGGGGUUCUCAUUUCUACUUCUCUGCUGGAAAUGAACAAGGCCACUGAGACUAGGUGGGGGCCUAGCAGAGCAUGGCCCUGACCUCUGGCUGGAUUGCCCAGACAAGGCUACCCCACACUGACAGCUAGCUGGUAAGGCCUUGACCUCACUCAGCCAAGUCCUGCCCUGCCUGGGACCCAGACAUUUGUGGGCAGCUUGGCUGUUCUUUGCUUCAGUGCACAUCACACUGUUGUUUCCAAAGUAAAGUUACAAAAUUCCAAAGUAAACUUUUCAUUAAUUCAAA